GUCCAAUUGUUGUCAGUGUUUGUGGUUGCUGCGUUCGAGAGAAGAUCUGUGAUCGAGGGAAUGGACUUUAUUGUUCGUGAUCUCAUCGGGAGAGAAUCUCAAGAAGAACGGUUCUUCAAGGAUUAAUAAGCAUGGACUUAGGUGCAGCCUAAGACUCAUAAAAGAUACGAUAUUGAUCCUCAACAAAAACGUGGUUUGCUAUUUUUUGAAAAAUAAGUGAACUUACAAAUGAACACGGGCCAAUGAUACUACAAAUUGAUUGGACCUGUAUUCGCUUGUGAGAGAAGCAUUCAAGACAAGCAAGAAUGAUCGCAGGGAAUACGUGUCGGGAC